rnacentral:rRNA from 1 species
ACGCUGGCGGCACGCCUAACACAUGCAAGUCGAACGAAGUAGCAAUACUUAGUGGCAGACGGGUGAGUAACAUGUAGGUAUCUGCCCUUUGGCCUGGAAUAACACGAGGAAACUUGUGCUAAUACCGGAUAAGUCUUUACGGAGAAAGCUUUAUGCACCAUUGGAUGAGCCUGCACUUGAUUAGUUUGUUGGUGGGGUAAUGGCCUACCAAGACUGUGAUCAAUAGCUGAUUUGAGAGGAUGAUCAGCCACAUUGGGACUGAGACACGGUCCAAACUCCUACGGGAGGCAGCAGUGGGGAAUCUUGCACAAUGGAGGAAACUCUGAUGCAGCGAUGCCGCGUGAGUGAAGAAGGCCUUUGGGUUGUAAAGCUCUUUCGUCGGGGAAGAAAAUGACUGUACCCGAAUAAGAAGGUCCGGCUAACUUCGUGCCAGCAGCCGCGGUAAUACGAAGGGACCUAGCGUAGUUCGGAAUUACUGGGCUUAAAGAGUUCGUAGGUGGUUGAAAAAGUUAGUGGUGAAAUCCCAGAGCUUAACUCUGGAACUGCCAUUAAAACUUUUCAGCUAGAGUAUGAUAGAGGAAAGCAGAAUUUCUAGUGUAGAGGUGAAAUUCGUAGAUAUUAGAAAGAAUACCAAUUGCGAAGGCAGCUUUCUGGAUCAUUACUGACACUGAGGAACGAAAGCAUGGGUAGCGAAGAGGAUUAGAUACCCUCGUAGUCCAUGCCGUAAACGAUGUGUGUUAGACGUUGGAAAUUUAUUUUCAGUGUCGCAGCGAAAGCGAUAAACACACCGCCUGGGGAGUACGACCGCAAGGUUAAAACUCAAAUGAAUUGACGGGGACCCGCACAAGUAGUGGAGCAUGUGGUUUAAUUCGAAGAUACGCGCAGAACCUUACCAACACUUGACAUGUUCGUCGCGACUCUAAGAGAUUAGAGUUUUCGGUUCGGCCGGACGAAACACAGGUGCUGCAUGGCUGUCGUCAGCUCGUGUCGUGAGAUGUUGGGUUAAGUCCCGCAACGAGCGCAACCCUCACUUUUAGUUGCCAUCAUUAAGUUGGGCACUCUGAAAGAACUGCCAGUGAUAAGCUGGAGGAAGGUGGGGAUGACGUCAAGUCCUCAUGGCCCUUACGUGUUGGGCUACACACGUGCUACAAUGGUAUCUACAACAGGAAGCAAGACUGCGAAGUUAAGCAAAUCCCUAAAAGAUACCUCAGUUCGGAUUGCACUCUGCAACUCGAGUGCAUGAAGCUGGAAUUACUAGUAAUCGUGGAUCAGCGUGCCACGGUGAAUGCGUUCCCGGGUCUUGUACACACCGC